CUGAGUUUACAACUCCCAAACCCUCGCGAACCUUACCUUUCAGUUGCUUCGGCGGUGUCGCCCCGGUGCCUGCGUGCCCGGAACCAGGCGCCCGCCGGAGGCCCAUGAAAACCAUUUGCAUCUCUCCCGGUGGUACCAUCUGAGUGGCUUGCAAAGCAAAUCAAAUCA
rnacentral:misc_RNA from 1 species